rnacentral:lncRNA from 1 species
GAAAAGUACUACUGCACUGUAAGUAAUGGGUACUUGCUGUGCACAGAAGGGGAGAGAUUGGUCAGGUUUAUGUUAGAUGCUGUUUAAUGUACUUUUUGUAGGUGGCCUCCCAACAGAUGUUUUCAGAAAGAAGUUAAAAAGCAGAGAGCAAUGAAAGGAAGAAAGACAGACAGACAGACAGACAGAAAGAAAGGAGAACACUGCUAAAUAGGUAGAAGACCUUAAAGAGGAAACACAAAAAAUCCUUAAAGAAUCACAGGAAACACAAACAAACAGGUGAUGGAAUUGAACAAAAUCAUCCAAGAUUUAAAAAGGGAAGUAGAAACAAUGAAGAAAACCCAAAGGGAGACAACGCUGGAGAUAGAAACCCUAGGAAAGAAAUCAGGAACCAUAGAUGCGAGCAUCAGCAACAGAAUACAAGAGAUGGAGGCAAGAAUCUCAGGUACAGAAAGAAGAUUCCAUAGGGAACAUGGACACAACAAUCAAAGAAAGUGCAAAAAGAUCCUAACUCAAAACACCCAGGAAAUCCAGGACACAAUGAGAAGACCAAAC